UACCUUUUAAUCAUUAAUUUGAUUUUUGGUCUACUUAUUUCACAUGAUUGUUUAAGACUCAUGUUUUUAAGAAUAUGUCCAAGCCCAUGUCUUUAAAUCUUUUAACUCUUUUAAAUGUUAAGUGUAAACCUACAAACAGAAGCUCACGUUAGAGUCUAAUGUCUUUAACUUAAAUUUUUAGCCUUUCUUUGUCAAUUUGGAGGUUCCUAUAGAUGAUACUUCAAUAACAUCAGCAUUUGCUGCAACUCAAAUACAUGGUAAUGCCUUAAUACUUCUUCCGUGAGUAAUCCUCCUAAAAAGCAGAAAA